UUUGAUAACCUGAUGUGGGACA
rnacentral:miRNA from 1 species